rnacentral:rRNA from 1 species
UACGGGGGGGGCAAGCGUUGUUCGGAAUUACUGGGCGUAAAGGGCUCGUAGGCGGCCAACUAAGUCGGAUGUGAAAUCCCCAGGCUUAACCUGGGAACUGCAUCCGAUACUGGAUGGCUUGAAUUCGGGAGAGGGAUGCAGAAUUCCAGGUGUAGCGGUGAAAUGCGUAGAUAUCUGGAGGAACACCGGUGGCGAAGGCGGGUCUCUGGGCCGAUACUGACGCUGAGGAGCGAAAGCCAGGGGAGCAAACGGG